UACGUAGGGUGCGAGCGUUAAUCGGAAUUACUGGGCGUAAAGUGUGCGCAGGCGGCGUCGCAAGUCGAGUGUGAAAGCCCCGGGCUUAACUUGGGAAUUGCGCUCGAAACUACGAUGCUGGAGUAUGGCAGAGGAAGGUGGAAUUCCACGUGUAGCGGUGAAAUGCGUAGAGAUGUGGAGGAACACCGAUGGCGAAGGCAGCCUUCUGGGCCAAUACUGACGCUCAGGCACGAAAGCAUGGGGAUCAAACAGG
rnacentral:rRNA from 1 species